rnacentral:rRNA from 1 species
AUUGAACGCUGGCGGCAGGCCUAACACAUGCAAGUCGAGCGGAUGAAGGGAGCUUGCUCCUGGAUUCAGCGGCGGACGGGUGAGUAAUGCCUAGGAAUCUGCCUGGUAGUGGGGGAUAACGUCCGGAAACGGGCGCUAAUACCGCAUACGUCCUGAGGGAGAAAGUGGGGGAUCUUCGGACCUCACGCUAUCAGAUGAGCCUAGGUCGGAUUAGCUAGUUGGUGGGGUAAAGGCCUACCAAGGCGACGAUCCGUAACUGGUCUGAGAGGAUGAUCAGUCACACUGGAACUGAGACACGGUCCAGACUCCUACGGGAGGCAGCAGUGGGGAAUAUUGGACAAUGGGCGAAAGCCUGAUCCAGCCAUGCCGCGUGUGUGCAGAAGGUCUUCGGAUUGUAUAGCACUUUAAGUUGGGAGGAAGGGCAGUAAGUUAAUACCUUGCUGUUUUGACGUUACCAGCAGAAUAAGCACCGGCUAACUUCGUG